UACAGAGGGUGCAAGCGUUGUCCGGAAUUAUUGGGCGUAAAGAGCUCGUAGGCGGUUUGUCGCGUCUGCCGUGAAAGUCCGGGGCUCAACUCCGGAUCUGCGGUGGGUACGGGCAGACUAGAGUGAUGUAGGGGAGACUGGAAUUCCUGGUGUAGCGGUGAAAUGCGCAGAUAUCAGGAGGAACACCGAUGGCGAAGGCAGGUCUCUGGGCAUUAACUGACGCUGAGGAGCGAAAGCAUGGGGAGCGAACAGG
rnacentral:rRNA from 1 species